GACAGAGGUGCCGAGCGUUAGGCGGAAUCACUGGGCUUAAAGCGUGUGUAGGCGGAUCGUUAAGUACCUUGUGAAAUCCCCCAGGCUCAACCUGGGAACUGCAUCCGAUACUGGAUGGCUUGAAUUCGGGAGAGGGAUGCAGAAUUCCAGGUGUAGCGGUGAAAUGCGUAGAUAUCUGGAGGAAUACCGGUGGCGAAGGCGGCAUCCUGGACCGACAUUGACGCUGAACGGCGAAAGCUAAGGGGAGCAAACGGG
rnacentral:rRNA from 1 species